rnacentral:rRNA from 1 species
AUGAACGCUGGCGGCGUGCCUAAUACAUGCAAGUCGCGCGAACGGACGAGAAGCUUGCUUCUCUGAUGUUAGCGGCGGACGGGUGAGUAACACGUGGAUAACCUACCUAUAAGACUGGGAUAACUUCGGGAAACCGGAGCUAAUACCGGAUAAUAUUUUGAACCGCAUGGUUCAAAAGUGAAAGACGGUCUUGCUGUCACUUAUAGAUGGAUCCGCGCUGCAUUAGCUAGUUGGUAAGGUAACGGCUUACCAAGGCAACGAUGCAUAGCCGACCUGAGAGGGUGAUCGGCCACACUGGAACUGAGACACGGUCCAGACUCCUACGGAAGGCAGCAGUAGGGAAUCUUCCGCAAUGGGCGAAAGCCUGACGGAGCAACGCCGCGUGAGUGAUGAAGGUCUUCGGAUCGUAAAACUCUGUUAUUAGGGAAGAACAUAUGUGUAAGUAACUGUGCACAUCUUGACGGUACCUAAUCAGAAAGCCACGGCUAACUACGUG